UAGCUGCGGUAUCUAAUGUGUGCGUAGC
rnacentral:sRNA from 1 species